GCCGGGAAACUGUAGUCUGUAACUUUAGAGAGUGAUGAAGUGCUGCUCUCUUGCAGCACCCAGCCAAGUCUGAUGAGCGAUCUGUGUAUGGCUGUGUACGCGCUGUCAUCUGCACAGGCACAGAGGCUCGAGCCCGGCAAAGGGCUCGAAUGAUCACAGGAUCAUGUCGAAGGGGAAAAGUUCAGUUGUAUCAUCGGCUAUUUAGGGGGGUAGUUACAAGGAAGCGGACAAGUUUCUUGUGCUAGUCCCUGGCUUGCUAAUAUGAAUAACCCAUGACUAAACCAUUUGCUCCACAGGGGUUUGUGAGAAUAUCAGAAUGACCUUCUGCAAAUUCUUUGUCACUGUUUAAAAAAGACAGACCGCUGGGUGAUGCAGUUUAAUUCCUGUCUCAGCCCUUAAAGGACUGCUUCAUUUCUCUAAGCAUGGCUGCAGCUGAUAAUUCACAGUCAUCUGAGACCUACAGGGCAUGAACAGCAACUCUGAGUUUAUCCACGCCACUACUUUUCCUGAGCCACAGAGUGGACAGUAAACCUUUCGCACCUCUGUACAAACCACAGGAUGCCUUGUACCUCUACAGCCUGGAGCUCAGCCCACAGCAGUCCAAAACCUGUUAAAAUGCUGCCAAGAAACCUGUGGCAAUGAAAGGACUGCACUUUCCCUGCCUGCUCUGAGUGAUGACCAUGGUGAAAGAGCUCUCUUGGAAUAAAAGCAAGAAGCCUUUGCAAUAUUAUCAAAAGCACUGUCAAUGGGAUGGGGCAGGAUGGCUCCCGAGGCUGUGAUGGAUAUGCAGACAACUACAGCAUGUGCUGUAACCACCUGCAGGGCUCUGGGCAGAGCCGGGAGGACAGCGUGCCAGCACAUAGUGAAUGUGAGCUAUGUUAAUACCUUCACCUCAGUCAUCUGCCAUGAGGGCCAUGGCAUAACUAUGCUAUGCCAGAAGCAACAGUUGGGCUGGUUUUGUCAUCUCACAGCUAGCGCAGAUGAUGCAAGGGAAAAGGCUGAGCAUUUCGACAUGUAGCCUGCCACUCUGGACUUUGCUUUGCCAACAGUCAGCUGCAAAUAUCACACAGGCAUAUGUUUUACUAAGAUCUAACCACCGUGAAUUUUCAGGGAAAGGACUGUGCUACAUGGGUCUGUGCUACACCCGAGCAAGAGAACGGAUGGCUCCUCUCCCAGGCCACUGCUACACCGGACAGAGAAGCUCUGAUUCCUAACAAAGUGGGCAAGGGUUUCUGACAAUGGUGAAUCCACCAAAGCACCAUUUUAUAAAGAGUGCACAUCAGCUGUUCCUACAGUGCUACAAUUAAUCUUUGUCAAAGUUUACUGUUGGUAUAGCUGAGCGUUGUUCAGAGGAAAGGAAUAAACUGGAACAUUUCACAAUCCAUGCCCUAAGGAGUGCAUCAAGAUUUUUUUUAAAGCUGUCCUGUAUUUACUGUAAACAGAGAGCCCUUAGAAAACUCAUGUCACUGGUACUUAGACAUCUCUUGCUUUCUAAUGAAUAAGAUGCAAGAUAAUGGUUAACCUUAAGGGAGUAACACCAGUCUUAGAUGUAAAAGUUGACACAUCAUGAAACAAAUUAACAUGACAUGAAAAAAUCAAAUUAUUGUGCCAGUAGUCGCGUGCUUUUUAUGGUAUAGUGGGUAGGAGUCAAAGGUUUAGGGACACUAAAGAAUUUAUUUCCCUAAUUAGUACUGCCGAGUGUGACCCCAUUAGCUGGAACACGACCUCCAGUAAGCAGGCCCUGACACUGGGCAUGUAUGUACUCGAAAAUCUUACUCUGAGUCAACAGAACCCAUUCGGAAUCUCGUAAAGUUGCCAACAUUUGGAGGAAAAAAAAGAAGUGGUCCAAUAUAAAACUAGCAGAUAUUUUGAGAUCUUCAUAGGCAAACACUUAAAGUUUCAUUGAGAGGCUAACUAAGGAAUUAUAAAAUAACAGAGGCAAAGUUCUGAGCAUCUAGAUUUAUCAAUCUCUACUUCUACUCUCUUUUUCCCUUUGCAGAGCACAGUAAUCACCUGACAUCAACAAGGUAUGCCCCAGAGGCCAGCCACCUUGUGGACUGCAAAAUCCCGCAAGACACUGAGAGGCCCAAAACAAAGUGAUUUAGGGAUUAUUUUGGCCCCUCUUAAGAGGCUUUGCAAGGUCAGGUUUACAGUUUGAGGUCUGACACAACAAUGUGGGGAGGUGCGUGUUCUCUCCAUCUGCCCGACAAGUGACCAGUUGUACAUAAACAAAGGCUUACUCUCCUCCAGUGAUAGCAGUCUCUCAGUUUUCAUUCUGCUUUCAGCUGAGAAUCGCUUUAAUCCCUUGCGACCUUCCAGACAGACACCAUACGUCUAAAUGCAGCAGUACUUAUUAGACUCUGGGGCAUAAUCUGCAUGGUAGAUAUAUUCUGCUGCCUCCAUUGCAAGCAAGGCCUGGACUUGAAGAUGUGAAAUAUAUGAAAGGCCUGGCUAGCCACGGGCAAAGCUAGUUUUAGUCAAACAUGUACAGAGAUGGAUAACUGCUAAGUGGACUGAGGCAAUACGGGGCAGGAGAAUGGUACUGUGUUUAGAAAAUUACUACUUUUAUAAAUCCACUUGUCCAUAGGACAGAGCAAGAUUAAAGCCAAGCAAACGUUCAUGGCCUGCUUCCCUUCAUUCACCAGCAGCCAGUGAGAGUGCCAGAAAAUCUCCUUGUCAUUAAGCUGCAGCAUUAGAAAUGUUGAACCUGAACCACUUGUUCAGUCAGUGCUGAGAAGCUGGGAGUGUCAUGGACCAGGUUAUUCUGCAAAAUCAACAUGGCAUAGAAGAGUAGAAAUUACAGAACAGAAAAUUAAUACUGCAGCAAGUUGGUACUGCCGUGAGGCACUCAUCUGCCAUCAGCAGGGAGCUCUGCCUUGUGGUGGCCUGCCAUAAAUCUUGUGAAUGCGACAUAAGUAAACACUAUGCAAAUAAUAUUUAAAAAAAGUUGAAGAUUAAAUUCACCAAAAAAUGCCAUUUCAUAGGAGCAAGAUCUGCCUGUGAAUGGGGGUUGUCAGUCAAGGCAGCAAAAGAAAGCAGAGAAACAUUUUGAAA